AAAGAAGUCUAGUAGUAGUAGUUCUGUCCACUACGAAUCUCCCCUCGGCUACACCAUUGAAGACGUUCGACCAAACGGUGGAAUCAAGAAGUUCCGUUCUGCUGCUUACUCCAACUGCGCGAGGAAGCCCUCCUGAUAAACCUACAUAAUCUUCCGGCUUUAGAGUAGAUUUCCAUUUCUGUCAUUUUGAUUUCUGCAAUUGAGUCGACCAAACUCUCGAUCUUGCCUCUUCAGUCUUCCGGCCUUCUUCUUCUCCAUUUGCUCUGGCUCUCGAACAAAUGGCAAUCUCCAUGGACUCCCAGAACACCCCUCCAGCCUCUGCAAUUGGCUUUGAGGGAUUUGAGAAGCGCCUAGAGAUCUCGUUCUCUGCUGCUCCUCUCUUUGUGGACCCUAGCGGCUGUGGCUUGCGUGCCCUCUCUCGCUCCCAGAUUGAUUCUUUUCUGGAUCUGGCUGCUUGUACAAUUGUUUCUCAGCUCUCAAACAAGGACUUUGACUCAUAUGUCCUUUCGGAAUCUAGUCUCUUCAUCUAUCCAUACAAGAUGAUUGUGAAAACAUGUGGGACUACAAAGCUCCUGUUGUCAAUUCCUAGAAUUCUUGAGCUUGCUGAGCUGCUGCUGCUCCCCGUCUCAUCAGUGAAGUACUCACGAGGCAGUUUCAUUUUCCCUUUUGCACAGCCAGCUCCCCACCACAGUUUCUCAGAGGAAGUUGCUGUGCUUGACAAAUACUUUGGUCACCUCCGGUCUGGUGGAAAUGCUUACAUGAUUGGUGACCCUGUUACGCCUGAACGCAACUGGCACAUCUAUUAUGCUACUGACAAGCCUGAGAAGCCGAUGGUGACUCUUGAGAUGUGCAUGACUGGCCUGAGCAGUGACAAAGCGUCCGUCUUCUUCAAGAGUUCUGCUGACGGCCAUACUCGCUCGGCCAAGGAGAUGACUAAUGUUUCUGGUAUCUCAAACAUCAUCCCUGAGAUGGAUAUAUGUGACUUUGACUUUGACCCCUGUGGGUACUCUAUGAAUGGGAUUCAUGGUUCGGCUCUAUCAACUAUUCAUGUGACCCCAGAGGAUGGG
rnacentral:misc_RNA from 1 species